rnacentral:rRNA from 1 species
AACUAGGAUUAGAUACCCUAUUAUUUUAGAAAUAAAAGAAAUUAUAUUUAUUUAUAUCGGCGGCUUUUACUUUAUUAGAGGAAUUUGUUCUCUAAUCGAUACACCCCGAUUAAUUUCACUUAAAUUUAUAAUUUAUAUACCGCCAUCAAAAGAAUUAAUUAAGAAAUUUUCUCUUUCAUAAAAAUGACAUGUUAGGUCAAGGUGUAAUCUAUAUUAAAGAUUGAAAUGAAUUACAUUAAAUGAAAUUUAUGAAUUAAAAUCUCAAAAAGAAUAUGAAAAAGGAUUUAUAAGUAUUAACAUAAUAAAAUUGUCUUUUGAAUUAAAAACAAAGUGCACACAUCGCCG